CGCCACCUAAAAACACAUAAGCAAGGUCAGAGGAAACUGAAUACAAGGAACAGUGGGGCCUUCAAAGAGGACACAAAUGCUCGAUCUCAGAAACUCCCUUACAAUGUUUAAACCUGUAACCUUUGCGUCUGCAACUCAAAUCAUUAACCAUCCAGAAACCACAAAACACACCCAACAGAACAAGUUUUAGUUGUUCAAUACACAAACCUUUGCUUGGUCACGUUUAACAGAUCACACACGCAACAUUCAAAAGCAGAUCAGCAAAAAAAAUUGUGUCAGAGAAAAUGACUAGGCUUCUGAAAAUCCCUAAAUCAAUUCUUUAUGUGCAUGCUUUAUUUCAGGGAGGGCUUGAACGAUUAUCACCGUAAACGUAGUCUGCUAUGUGAAUAUGGACUAAUCAGAAAGAAAACAUGUGUAACAGUAUAUUGGAUCCAUGCAUUACAUGUUGGUCUUAAAGUGACAGCAUAUGGGUUACUAAUCAAUAUCGGACUGAAUUGAAAUCGAAUUGGAAACAUAUACAAAAUAAUUCAUUGCCAAAUUGGUUGCCUUCAGAAGAAAUGCCUAUAAAUAGCCUUCAGAAGAAAUGCAGUUUCCUUCACCCAUUUAUAUUUCCUGUGAGGUAAAGUACUGCAAAAGUCCCUUGUCUCAUAAUAACCACAGAACAAUCAAUGUCUGAAGAAAUAUUACAGCUUUCACCCAUUUAUCUAAACAUAAAAAGACACCUACAAGCAGAACAGCAAACAUUUCUUCCUCAAAAGCUACUUCCACAGGAAAAGGAUUUUGCACAGGGUUUGCAAGAAUUGAAGUUCGCAAAGACGCAAUAAUGUUUUUUAACCGCUGUCAGCGCAUUAUGCUUACAGUCUUACUUCAUGGGCUGUACUGUGCAAUGUCCCACAAAUGAUGUUUCUCACUUAACACUGUCAAAGGAAGGAUAUUUCCUGUUGAAAUGAUGGUAAACGGAAACCUGCCACUGUGAUGAUACUGAACUUAAAAACCUUUAGUUAAUGCUAAAAAUACAUUUACUACAGUUUUUGUAAAAUAUCUGAUUCCCUUCAGUGGAUUUUGUUUUAGACUUGCUCAUGUAUUUAUUUACUUCGAAAAUAAAGACAUUUUACUGUA